AAAAAGAUAAACCCUGAUUUCCGUGUUCAACGUUUGACUGUCCGUCUUAUUUGAAAAAAUUAAAAAGAUAAGUCAAGCAUAAAGUAUUAAUCAUGUUUUAUCAUCUAACAACAAUGAAAAUACUAAUUAUAAAAUUUUUUCAUAUAAGACGGACAGUCAAACGUUGGCACGGAAACCCACGGUUUGUCUUUUU
rnacentral:pre_miRNA from 1 species